UACGUAGGGAGCAAGCGUUGUCCGCAAUCAUUGGGCGUAAAGCGCGCGUCGGUGGCCUCAUAAGUCCGCUGUGAAAGUCAAAGGCUCAACCUUUGAAAGCCGAUGGAUACUGCGGAGCUAGAGUACGGAAGAGGCGAGUGGAAUUCCUGGUGUAGCGGUGGAAUGCGCAGAUAUCAGGAGGAACACCAAUAGCGAAGGCAGCUCGCUGGGACGUUACUGACACUGAGGCGCGAAAGCGUGGGGAGCGAACAGG
rnacentral:rRNA from 1 species